rnacentral:rRNA from 1 species
UACGUAGGGCGCAAGCGUUGUCCGGAAUUAUUGGGCGUAAAGAGCUCGUAGGUGGCUUGUCGCGUCUGCCGUGAAAGCCCGUGGCUUAACUACGGGUCUGCGGUGGAUACGGGCAGGCUAGAGGCUGGUAGGGGCAAGCGGAAUUCCUGGUGUAGCGGUGAAAUGCGCAGAUAUCAGGAGGAACACCGGUGGCGAAGGCGGCUUGCUGGGCCAGUUCUGACGCUGAGGCACGAAAGCGUGGGUAGCAAACAGG